GAGUUUGAUCCUGGCUCAGGACGAACGCUGGCGGCGCGCCUAACACAUGCAAGUCGAACGGGAAUUACUUUAUUGAAACUUCGGUCGAUUUAAUUUAAUUCUAGUGGCGGACGGGUGAGUAACGCGUGGGUAACCUGCCUUAUACAGGGGGAUAACAGUCAGAAAUGACUGCUAAUACCGCAUAAGCGCACGGAACCGCAUGGCUCUGUGUGAAAAACUCCGGUGGUAUAAGAUGGACCCGCGUUGGAUUAGCUUGUUGGCAGGGUAACGGCCUACCAAGGCGACGAUCCAUAGCCGGCCUGAGAGGGUGAACGGCCACAUUGGGACUGAGACACGGCCCAGACUCCUACGGGAGCAGCAGGUGGGGAAUAUUGCACAAGUGGGGGAAACCCUAAUGCAGCAACGCCG
rnacentral:rRNA from 1 species